UGAGCCUGUCCAGCUGGAGGGGUGGGAAAGGAAGACCGUCUGUCAGACCCUCCAAAGGGACUUCCAGAAACUGGGGUGGGGAGACAGCCUUUGAGGAGAGGACCACACAACGGGGCCUCAGGGAAUUUACAACUUCUGCACCUGAUUAAGUGGCUGGUGGAGGCGGAAAGCAGGGCUGGGAGCCGGGGCCUAGGCUGGCAGGCUGUGAAGCACAGGACUGCUCCAAGUUAUGAAGGCUGGGAAGUCCAAGAUCAAGGCCCUGGCACAUUGCUUGUCUGGUAAGGAUCCAGUAUCGGCUUCCAAGAUGGUAACUUGAAUGCUGAGUCCUCCAGAGGAAUGCUACUUCCUUACAUGUCAGAAGAAGGACGGACAAAAAGGACCAGCUUUCUCUACCAUGCCCUUUUAUAAUGGCACCUAAUCCCAUUCACGAGGAGAGAAGUCAUCAUGACCUAAUUACCUCUUAAACACCCCCACCUGGCCUAAUUAUAGCUUAAGGCCCGCCCCCCCCCCACACCUGGCCUAAUUACCUCUUAAAGACCCCAUCUCUCAAUAUCAUCACAUUGACCAUUAAGUUCCAACACCUACAUUUUGGAGGAGACAUAAUUCAGCCCAUAACAGAGAGGUUAUCUUUGGGCUGUGCCUUGAUAGCAGAGUUGAUGGGCAGAACAGGGAAUUAUUCUUCAUGCCAAGCCUAGCAGAGCAAAGACCCAGAAAUAUCCAAUUCCUCCCUCCUUCAGGGAACAACAAGAGGUUUGCACAGGUGGAAAACAGGAAAGGGGUCCAGAAGGAAGUACCUCAUGCCUUAGCAGAGGCCGUGUGCUUUCCUGGUGGCUAUGGAAGGGAAGGUGGAGCGGGGUAAGAACUCAGGCUCUGAAGCUCCUCAUGUGAAGGGCUGUUAUAU
rnacentral:lncRNA from 1 species